rnacentral:rRNA from 1 species
UCUCCUGGAAACGGGUGGUAAUGCCGGAUGCUCCAGUUGAUCGCAUGGUCUUCUGGGAAAGCUUUCGCGGUAUGGGAUGGGGUCGCGUCCUAUCAGCUUGACGGCGGGGUAACGGCCCACCGUGGCUUCGACGGGUAGCCGGCCUGAGAGGGCGACCGGCCACAUUGGGACUGAGAUACGGCCCAGACUCCUACGGGAGGCAGCAGUGGGGAAUAUUGCACAAUGGGCGCAAGCCUGAUGCAGCGACGCCGCGUGAGGGAUGGAGGCCUUCGGGUUGUAAACCUCUUUUAUCGGGGAGCAAGCGAGAGUGAGUUUACCCGUUGAAUAAGCACCGGCUAACUACGUGCCAGCAGCCGCGGUAAUACGUAGGGUGCAAGCGUUAUCCGGAAUUAUUGGGCGUAAAGGGCUCGUAGGCGGUUCGUCGCGUCCGGUGUGAAAGUCCAUCGCUUAACGGUGGAUCCGCGCCGGGUACGGGCGGGCUUGAGUGCGGUAGGGGAGACUGGAAUUCCCGGUGUAACGGUGGAAUGUGUAGAUAUCGGGAAGAACACCACCCCC